GAUGAACGCUGGCGGCGUGCCUAAUACAUGCAAGUCGAGCGAACAGACGAGGAGCUUGCUCCUCUGACGUUAGCGGCGGACGGGUGAGUAACACUUGGAUAACCUACCUAUAAGACUGGGAUAACUUCGGGAAACCGGAGCUAAUACCGGAUAAUAUAUUGAACCGCAUGGUUCAAUAGUGAAAGACGGUUUUGCUGUCACUUAUAGAUGGAUCCGCGCCGCAUUAGCUAGUUGGUAAGGUAACGGCUUACCAAGGCAACGAUGCGUAGCCGACCUGAGAGGGUGAUCGGCCACACUGGAACUGAGACACGGUCCAGACUCCUACGGGAGGCAGCAGUAGGGAAUCUUCCGCAAUGGGCGAAAGCCUGACGGAGCAACGCCGCGUGAGUGAUGAAGGUCUUCGGAUCGUAAAACUCUGUUAUUAGGGAAGAACAAAUGCGUAAGUAACUAUGCACGUCUUGACGGUACCUAAUCAGAAAGCCACGGCUAACUACGUG
rnacentral:rRNA from 1 species